UUGCUUUAGUAGCACAUAUACUAAAAUUGGAACAAUGCAAAAAAUAUUCACAUGUCCCCUGCACAUGGAUGAUAUGCACAUUCUUGAAGGGUUCCAUAUUUUU
ensembl:snRNA U6 U6 spliceosomal RNA